AAGAGUUUCUCUCUCUUCCUCAAUUCAGUUCCAAUAUCAUCACCCAGUACUUCUUCACGCACAACUUUAACUUGUCAAAGUCCAUUAUUUGGUCUCCUUGUAGUUCCGCUGCCAAAAUUCUUGUUUGCAAUUCUUUGUACUUGCGUUCCAAAUACCUUUUACUUGUAAAUACCAUUAAAGCAGCAGAACUCAAUACAAUGAAAGCAUAAACGUUCAAAAAGACAACCACCACUUGGAAAUUAUCUUCAAUUACGCCUGUGGGUAUUUGGAUGAUAACAUUUACGGAAAGCGUCACUAUAAGGAUACCCAAUGCUGUCAAGUUCACUAUUAUAUCUCUAUCACUCAUGUAUCCCAGAGAAGGCAUGAAAUGAGUGGUUGAAACACACAAGAAAGCAGAGCUACUACCUUUAGCGGCUUGAUCAUACCUACCUUCCAUCGGGGUAGUUAGAUCCAUUGAUAACUUCACUGCAAUGGCUAAAACAGCCAAGGAAGCAGCGUUGAGGGCAGAAUAUCUGCAAGGGAACCAUAAUUUUCUAUGGCGGACAGAAAUCACUGCAUCAAUGAAAAGUGAAAGAGUCCAUAUUAGAGAUGCUACGGCAGCGUAUAGGCCUAUCCAUGGCAUUGGUGCUUUAGAGUCCGUCAUUUUGUUCAAUUAUUCGGCUCUCUUCCCACGGCUGCUUUAGUUCGUAUUUAAGAUGAGGAUGCUCCAGUGGUGGAAAUAUCUUUGUUGUGUCAAUUCAACUUCAGCUAAAAGACAAAAUUGCUUUUUCUUGUUAUUAAUAUAAUAUUUGUUUUAUAUUUUAGAUUAAACUUCGAAAAAUUGCAUUGUAAUUCUAGUAAUGUGAAAUAAUGGAGUUACUUGUUCCUGUU
rnacentral:lncRNA from 1 species